rnacentral:rRNA from 1 species
AUAGAGACUCAGAGCUGCAUAUCAAUAAGCGGAGGAAAAGAAACUAACAAGGAUUCCCUUAGUAACGGCGAGUGAAGCGGGAAGAGCUCAAAUUUGAAAUCUUCAAGGUUUUACCUUGACGAAUUGUAGUUUAAAGAAGUGUUUUCUGUUGGAGUUUUGGUAAAAGUUCUUUGGAAUAGGACAUCAUAGAGGGUGAGAAUCCCGUAUUUGACCAUUAUUUCCAGCUUUGUGAUACACUUUCAAAGAGUCGGAUUGUUUGGGAAUGCAGUCCAAAAUGGGUGGUAAAUUUCAUCUAAAGCUAAAUAUUGGCGAGAGACCGAUAGCGAACAAGUACCGUGAGGGAAAGAUGAAAAGGACUUUGAAAAGAGAGUUAAACAGUACGUGAAAUUGUCAAAAGGGAAGCGUUUGACACCAGUGUUGUUUUCUCGAAAAUCAAUUACGAAUGUUUUGUUUUUGAGGAGUUAUGACUUCAUCGGCUUGCUCCUUUCUUUAUGAAACUUUCUUAAUGCACUUUUCGGUUAACAAGUCAACAUCAAUUUCUUUUGUUGUAAAAGGGUAUGAGGAAGGUGGCUUUCUUUUCGGAGAAAGUGUUUAUAGCCUUGUAUCCUCUGCAAUCGGAGAGAUUGAGGUCUGCAGCGUAGAUCCUUCGGGGUUAGAUACAUUUGUGCUAAGUUACUAGCCUUUCAUAGACAACUUGUUGACUAUGAUUAAGUCAUGUAGCUUACUCGCUUAUGCUAUUUUACCUACGCUUAGGAUGUUGAUAUGCAUGACUGAUAU